AGUGGAUGGGGAGCAACCUAGUUGUGCGUGUGUAAAGGUAGUGCCAAGAAAAGCGAUGAUCAUGUUGAAAAUCAAUUCCCGGUACCCGAAACCGACACAGGUGGGCAAGUAGAGAAUACUAAGGGGCGCGAGGUAACUCUCUCCAAGGAACUCGGCAAAAUGACCCCGUAACUUAGGGAGAAGGGGUGCCACCGAGAGGUGGUCGCAGUGAAGAGGCCCAGGCGACUGUUUAGCAAAAACAUAGGUCUCUGCAAACUCGAAAGAGGAGGUAUAGGGGCUGACGCCUGCCCAGUGCCGGAAGGUUAAAGAAGUUGGUCAGUCUUAGGAUGAAGCUAGCGACUGAAGCCCCGGUGAACGGCGGCCGUAACUAUAACGGUCCUAAGGUAGCGAAAUUCCUUGUCGGGUAAGUUCCGACCCGCACGAAAGGCGUAACGAUCUGGGCGCUGUCUCGGAGAGAGGCUCGGCGAAAUAGGAUUGUCUGUGAAGAUACGGACUACCUGCAUUUGGACAGAAAGACCCUAUGAAGCUUUACUAUAGCUUGGAAUUGUGUUCGGGCUUCCUGUGCGCAGGAUAGGUGGGAGGCGUAGAAGGUAUUCUUGUGGGGAUACUGGAGCCAACGGUGAGAUACCACUCUCAGGAGGCUAGAAUUCUAACUUAAUUAAGGACAGUUUCAGGUGGGUAGUUUGACUGGGGCGGUCGCCUCCAAAAAGGUAACGGAGGCGUACAAAGGUUCCCUCAGACUGGUUGGAAAUCAGUCGAAGAGUGCAAAGGCAGAAGGGAGCUUGACUGCGAGAAGUACAGUUCGAGCAGGGUGGAAACACGGUCUUAGUGAUCCGACGGUGCUGUGUGGAAGGGCCGUCGCUCAACGGAUAAAAGUUACUCUAGGAUAACAGGCUGAUCUCCCCCAAGAGUUCACAUCGACGGGGAGGUUUGGCACCUCGAUGUCGGCUCAUCGCAACCUGGGGCGGAAGUACGUCCCAAGGGUUGGGCUGUUCGCCCAUUAAAGCGGUACGUGAGCUGGGUUCAGAACGUCGUGAGACAGUUCGGUCCAUAUCCGAUGUAGGCGUGAGAAUAUUGAGAGGAGCCUUCCUUAGUACGAGAGGACCGGGAAGGACGCACCGCUGGUGUACCUGUUAUGAUGCCAAUUGUAAACGCAGGGUAGCCGAGUGCGGAGAGGAUAACCGCUGAAAGCAUCUAAGUGGGAAGCCCACCUCAAGAUGAGUAUUCUGGUGUAAGGUCACGGGAAGACGACCCGUAAAUAGGCACGAGGUGGAAGUGCAGAGAUGUAUGAAGCCGAAGUGUACUAAUAGACCGUCGGCUUGACC
rnacentral:rRNA from 1 species